AUGAAAACUUGCAAGUACGUCAAAGUUAUUGUUGAUGGAGCUCCGUAUCUAAGAAAAGUCGAUCUCGAAGUUUACGACAGUUAUGAGCAUCUUCUGAGGGCAGUGGAUACCAUGUUUGGUAGUACUAAUUUGAUGAGUAAGAAGAAAUACAUGCUUAUCUAUAAGGAUAAAGAUGGUGACUGGAUGUUGCUUGGAGAUUAA